rnacentral:rRNA from 1 species
UGUAGUCUCAAUGAUGAUGCAUACAUGUCAAAUAUGGGUGUUGGGUCCAACAAUUCGCAUUGGUCUCAAACCAAUGACAUCCAUUUGGAAGACCAUGAGUUUGAGGUGGACGAGGAGGGUGAGGGCAUUGUCGACACGCCGAAAGGAAGAGCGGGCAAUUGCAGCACCAACAAUGAUAAGUUACCAUGCAAUACUUAUUUGCAAGUGUCAAGGGAUCCAUCCAUUGGAGGUGAUCAAAGUAGAGAUGCGUAUUGGGGGCGAAUGAAAGAAUACUUUGAUGCUCACAACAUGAGUGGAAUUGUCCGCUCGGAGAGAUCACUUCGGUCCCGAUGGUCCACAAUCAACUCGGAUUGUCAAAAGUGGGCGGCCGCACAAAAGUCAGUUGACAAGAUUAAGCCAAGUGGCACAAAUGAGGAUGAUAGAGUAAGUGGCAUCUCAUAUAUGUUCAUCUCAUACUUGUUUUUGGUGUCCGAAGUGCUAACUUGUUUUGUUUUUCUUGUAGUUCAACAUUGCACAAAACUUGUUCAAAGAAGAGACGAGGAAAACCAAGAAGGGGAAGAUCAAGAAAGGAAGGUUCUUUACCUUGUCUCAUUGCUAUGA